rfam:Vigna angularis cultivar Jingnong 6 scaffold58_90, whole genome shotgun sequence.
AAAGUGGAAUGAAGCCAAGGAUGACUUGCCGGCAUUAAUUUGCUACCGAUCUAGCAACUUAGGCAUCUUCAUUUGCUGGUUUUUCCGGCAGGUCAUCCUGUGGCUAUAUUUUGCUUUUU